AAGUCGUAACAAGGUUUCCGUAGGUGAACCUGCGGAAGGAUCAUUAACACAAACAUAUAUAGCAUGUGUUUUACACAUCUUUAUAUAUUCACCAAACCAUGUGCUCUUUAUUUUCACACCUAAAUCUUUUUGUUUGUUUACUCAAGCAAAAAAACAUGUUGUUUUUAUUAUAUUGUGCUUGUCCAUAUUACAGCAAUGUGGUAUGUGCGGCAUAUUUACGACAUUGUUCAUUCAAUGUUUGUAUAAAAUAUGUAAAUAUACAACUGUUAACAAUGGAUAUCUAGGUUCUC
rnacentral:misc_RNA from 1 species